rnacentral:rRNA from 1 species
UACGUAGGGUGCAAGCGUUAAUCGGAAUUACUGGGCGUAAAGCGUACGCAGGCGGCUUUGCAAGACAGGUGUGAAAUCCCCGGGCCUAACCUGGGAACUGCAUUUGUGACUGCAUAGCUAGAGUUUGUCAGAGGGGGGUGGAAUUCCACGUGUAGCAGUGAAAUGCGUAGAUAUCAGGAAGAACACCAAUGGCGAAGGCAGCUCUCUGGGACGGUACUGACGCUGAGACGCGAAAGCGUGGGGAGCGAACAGG